rnacentral:misc_RNA from 1 species
CACUUCCGGAGGGAGACGCAUUUGAACGGGUGGCCAUCACGUGCGUGCUGGAGGGGCUCUUCGUGUCGAAAGGGACGUGAAAACGUCAUCGCUGACCACAUCCAGCACGCGGCACGCCUCUACGUCAUAUUCCACGUGGUCGAUCCGUGUGUGUGUGUGUGUAGCGGAAUCCGGCUCCUCCCUCUUCUCGCUCUGCCGCUGUGUGUCGGUGUUGCAUCAAUCACUUGACGGAAUUACGCUCGUUGACAUUUGUGCGUUCCCUCCUGUGUAUCGCCCUGUCAUUUUGGCGUUAGGGUUUUUGUGCUGGCUGGGUCCAUUGGCACCCGUGCUCAUCAUCUUCGUUUUCGUUUUUUUGUGUGUGUGCGCGCUCUUUCCUCUGCCUCUCUCUCUUUGUUUUCCUCCCGUGCAUGUUGUUGUCCGCGCCUCCUUCUCCCGUCCUCACCCUCGCUCUCUUCGGCUUGUCGUCGGUUUUCGGGUGAUUUCUCUGCAUGCGCGUCCCACCCUCCUGUCUCACCCUCUAGUUUAUUUUCUUCGCUACGCCGCGCGCGCUGUCGUGGUGCGCUCCCUCUCCGGCUCUCCCCCUUCCCCUCCUUUUAACUUUUUUUCUGUUUUCUUUGUGCUCUCCCAUUCGAAAUCAUCCGAUCACGUGCACCUUCUCUAAAGAAGUUAUGGUCUUGCGGCUCGCAACGUUUUUUUUUUCGCGCGCAUCUACUCACGUCCCUUUCAUUUUCCCUGCGUGAAGUCCUCUGUGCUUGGUUUUCCUUUCGGAUUGUGAGUGUUCUUGCCCUUGGAACCGUGCUUGUUGAGACCCUGCCUCGCUGCCGCUGUGGCUGUGACGUCAUUGCCUUUUUGUUGGUGUGGUGCUCGCGAGUCCAAUCGUCUAUGUAUGUGUGUAUUCAUUUUUUUCUUUUGAGCCUGCAGGUAAUACGCACUUUCCUCGCACUCCGCUGUGCUGCACGCGUGUGAGCGAGUACCUGUGGGUGCAUCACAGACACACUGCCACCGCUGCCUUGCUUUGCUUCUCCGCCCCGAUGUGCUUAUCUCUAUUUCAAAUUUCUUUCUUGCUUUCUCGCUCCGCUUCGCUUUUCAGCGAACUCCGCAGGGGCAGUGGCGUGUGGAGUGUUUUGUGUGUUUCAUCCGCUCCUUCCUCGGCCGCACCCCUGCCGAUUGAGCCCUCCAGUCUUCUAUGUCCGCCUCUCCGCCUCCCUCGCCCUUCUCUUUUAUUUUAUUUUUCGUUGAAGUCUCUCGCGCUACGUUGAUUCCACCGUUGUGCGCGAGUGUCUGUGGGCGCGCGAGGUGGUUCAUGGUUUUGUUUGUUUGUUUUUUAGUAACUGUCACCCACGGCUCAUGUGUUUACAGCUCACUUCCUUGCCAAGUUAUUUCGUUUCUUUCGCCUCUCCCUCUGCACCUUCCGUGUUCGUUGGAGCCCGUGAAUAGUCUUACCCUUUCUUCCCUGAUUUCCCCAUCUCUCUGCCUUGGACGUGGUGCGCACUUUCCCUCCACCGUCACCGUAUCGCGUACGCGCACCGUCAAGCUUUUUUCUUUCGUGCCCAUCGCUCGAUCCGCUCACGUGCCCCGCACAUCCCCCUUCUCCCCUCCCUCGGCUCUGUGAAUUCACCGGAAAACACCAACAACACCGAAGGAGGCAGGGGCAAUUUUCUUUGCUGGUGUGUGUUCUGUUGGGCCUGGCGGAGGCGAGAGAAAGAGAGAAGGGGGUUUUCUUCUUUGCUGUUGUGUUUGCUGUUGCGUGGCCUCCCUCACCUGCUCCGCUCGCGUGGCCGCGUUCCCUUCGCGCCGCCCUGCGCCACAACGCCUCAGUGUGCAUCGGCGCACUCCUCCUCCUCCCCUUCCCGAGCGCGGCAUUUUCUUUCUUCGGCUGCUUCCCUGUGGUGGUGUCUACGCAUACCUGUCGCACGAACUAACAGAAGAGCCUACGUGCGUGCGCGGUCGGAUCCGUGAAGUAACUCGUUGUUUGUCGCUCGUGGUGGACACCAUGUAUGCAAACCUGAAACACUCGAAAGAGGAGACCGCGUCACCCUACUUUGGCGCUACGUCUGUCCCGCUACACAGUAGAGAUGAGGUGCCAUCGAAGCGACGCAAGAAUAGCAAGCCGAGAAGUCCGAAACUGAAGCGCAGCUCGUCGAAAUCGGGUCGACUCGCUGUGGAAGCCAAGGCCGCCACAAAGGCGAACGCCGCAUGCGGGAAGGCUCGACAACGUCCGAAUCAAAAUUCGGGCAAACUGGAUGCUCGCAAGAAGUCGUCUUCGUCGCCGUCCCGUCCGGAAAGCGGAAAAGUGGCCGCUGUGCUGCGAAGGCCACGGCCACAGGAAGCGCCCGUCAACAAAGAUGACGACGCUCCGAGCUCGGCAGGCCAGUUAUUCGAGUCCAUCGGCGCCAGUCCGUCUGUGGUUGCACUGCGAUCCCAGACGAGCGACGGCGAAUACUUCUUACCAGACUGGAGCGUCAGCAGCGAAGCGCCACCGGCGAUCCGUCGGACAGGUUUCCCUCUCAACCGCCCCUCCAGUGAGCUCCGCCGUAACUCGCUUAAUGCCAACAGCAGCAGUAACGCCGUGCCGCGCACGACGGACCGGACUCUUCGAGAGUAUAUGGAUAUGAGCAGCAGCUGCGCACCGCAGUCGCAGAAGCCGCUCCUAUGGGGAGCCAGUCCCAAGGCUGCCCCAAAGCACACGAAAGGCAGCAGUGCGAGCCCCACCACAGUCCGCUGCUACUCACAGUACCACAUGGCAAGCAGUACCUCUUCCUUGCUCCCAUUCGGUGCGCCAUAUCAGGUCCAGCAGCAGCGCAAGGUGGCGCGCACCGCACCAUCGGAUCUCAGCCCCGAAAACUUCUAUCCCCCGCUGUUCAUGGGACCGCCCAGUGAUCGUCACCAGCGCACGGUGGACAGCUGCGACGCUUCGCGGCAGCUGCGAAGUCGAUUCAAAGUAGCGAACGGCGAUGUUGUCGCCACAAGUGGCAAGCGGGGAGACUUCUCGAAGCUCUGCAGUGGCAGCAUCGCAGGGUUCCAUGACAGCCACACAGACGACAUCUCGCCUCUCGCUGCGCAGCGAAGCUCCCGAGCUGUCGACGCGGGCUCUCUUCGAACGCUGUCGUCUGCCUUCUUCUCGACUACCUCUCGGUCACUGCCACAGUCGCUUUUCCGGGUGCCCAUGAGCAUGAGCCCCAGCGCCACCCUCCGCAGCACCACAAACGGCUUUGACAGGGGAUCGGCUGUGUGGAAAUCCAUGUACGGAACCGACAAGAAUGGUGACGACGAAGAGAGCCCGCUCGCGUCCGGGGGACACCGGACGGGUGCUGCUGGUCAGCGUGGCACAGGUGGCCGCUAUCAGAGCUCCUUUCACUCCGCAACAGGACUCCUGCCUCUCUCUGAAAGCGACCCGAACGGUGGCGGGACUGGUGCUGAUGAGAGACCGGCAUGGCACCAUGGAAAAGUCAGCUCUUUGUACGGCUGCAUGCUUGAUGGUGCCGCCGUGGUGUCGAGCUCCCCGUCGGACGAUGGGGGCGGCGCUGACGAAGACCACGAUUAUUGGACGUCAUCGGGCACGCACCCGGGCCAGCGUUGCACGCUCGAGCGCAAACGUACGAUGAAUGUGCUCGCGUGGAUGAAGAAGACAGGCAAGAGCCGGCCCUGCGGUAAAACGGGCGGCACUCGCGGAGGCAGCGACAGCGACGACGAAGACAACGCAGACGCCGAGCGCCGGCAGAGCCUUUCCCCCACCAGCACACCAAAGCGUGAAGGCUGCGGUACGACGGCGCAUCGCAGCGAAGCCGACUCGCACAGGGACGAGGUGGUGGUGCGGAACGACGCGGGCAGCGAUGAAGAUGCGGACGCGGAGAGAGACAGCGAGGGCAACCUGGCCUCGCUGUCGCAGCAGACUGCCUUGCAGCGUAUUCUGUCGGGCAUGUGGAAACCCUCCGACCCCAAAGAGGUUGACGAAGCGGCGGCCGUGCAGGAAGAGCGACCUACUCAGCGCAUCGAACCUUCGCUGCCGUAUAGAAGUGGUGCCGGCAGAGGCAGCAGCAACGCGCACCAGAAGGUGAGCCCCGCAGUCGCAGACUGCAGGAGGCCCGUUUCGGUGCACUAUCACGGGUCGCCGCGCGCAAGCAUGACGCCGCCGGCCGGCUAUCGAGGUUGGUGCGCCGGGCACGGUGCACAAGCAGCCGCCUAUCUGCACAACCGUGGCAUUUAUCAACCACUAAGUCUGUCACCGUCGCCGCAAAACGCGAAUGGCUGGCGCGCGCAGCUAGUCGAAUCCACAUUACCAUCCACUCAUAUCGGCUGCUGCGCAUACACGAGCCCGACUCCACACACCGUUCCGGUGGCGUGCAGAUCUUUACCUCUGAUGUUCCGGCAGACGGUGACAAACAUGGCGGUGCACGAACUGCUGGGCCUUGACCCCGAGGCCGAAAUCAUUUUUGUGGAGUCACCCGUCUGGAAGCACUUGCCUCGCUAGCGGGCGAGCCGCUGCUCUCCCUCGUCAUCAGUUGCUUGAACACAGGGCGCGCCGGGGAUGACAGGCAAAGGAGGAGCCUACAGCUGAAUCUCACAUGUCUGCUCUCACGCACACACGCACACCUCCCCUCCGCGGUUCUUUUCGGCUGGUGACUGCCUUCUCUCACCACCGCAUCCGCUUUACCCCUCUCCGUUUUUCUGUCGGCUUCGGCCCCCUCCACCACAUCGUUUUUUCUUUUUCGUUUUCGUUGCUUAGGUACCUCUGCUGAUCAUGCGCAUGUGUGUGUGUCGCACGCAGAAUCUGCCGGCCGUUUCUCGUGCUCAGUACAGUGGAUUCUCGUCUCCCCUAUACUCCCCGCCAACGCCCACGGCAGGCUCAAGUCACCGGCUGCCCGCGGUGGUGCUGCCGGUGUGAUGGGGAUCAUGCCUAGGAGCGCCCUAGAGAGAAAAGGCGAAGACCAUCCAGCGAGACGGUGGGGUAAAGGAAAAAGGAAGUCAACCGAAGGGGAGCGGCUCGACUGGUGGUAAGGCUCGCUGAUACCUCUCUCCAUGUUCUGUUGCGUUCUGUUCUGUUCGCUCUCCUUCCUCCCCCAGCCGCCGCCUUCUCUCGCGUCCUCGUCACGCUCUCAUUGUGAGGCAGAGCGCAAGGCAACGUUGUCACAGUCGUGUUUCUGUGUUGUGCUCUCUUCUAUACCCCCUUCCCGCGCCUUGUCUGUCCAUCACGGUCUCGCAUGAUCUAUGCAGUUUUUGCUGCGUUUGUUGCCCUUCGCUGCCUUCCGUUUUUCCUACCUUGUACGCCGUUCUCGCAGCUCUAGCGCGGAGUUGAUGGGCCCGCUUCUGAGACCCAUUUGCCGCUCCGCAGAGAAGAAACCAGCGUAGUGGAAGAUAUCAGGGCGUCAAUCUGCGGCACUGCUUUUCCUCCGCCACUACCCCUCACUGCCGUCGUGCAGCCCGCACGCUAUAGACACCGAAAAGUCGUGAUUCAACACUUGCUCUCACUUGUGCAUUUCUGCUUUCCGCCCUUUCUCUUCCGUCUCGCUAUGUUUGUAUUUCAGCGCCUGCAAGACUUGUUCGUCUUCCUCGUAACAUAUACGCUCGGCUCGUCUCAUCGUGUGCUUCGCUUACGUUGUAUGUGCAUGUAUGCAUAGGCACGUGUGUGUGUAUACGUAGUUUGGCCUCUCUUUCCUUUAUGUCUGAGCAGCUCCGCCAAUCGGCUUUCUCUCUCCCUUUCUUCUCCCCCCCCCUCUUCUGGUUCCACCUCCUCACUGAUGCACCGCAGACCUUCCUCCUUUACGUGACCACCAUCACCCGCUGUUCAGUCUCUCACAUCACAGACAGGGUAUUAUAGAUAUAUAGAUGUACUCGGAAGAGGAUGUGCCAAUCCAAUACGACACCCAUCUCCACAUUCUUCCUUCUCCCAUCCGCCUUUCGCGUUGUUGGUAUGAUGUCAGCGUCUGUCGGUGUUGUUGUCUUUGUACUCGUGGUGCGGCCGUCACGCUUCUCCAUUCUGUUCUCUCUCUCUGUUCCCUUUUCGUUUGUGGUUGCCUCUUCUCCGAUUGCUCCCCUCUAUCUCUUUGCACGUUAUUUUCUUUUUCUUGUUUUCGGUGCUGGACUCUGUCCCGCUCCUCCCCCCAUCAUGGCGCCCAGAUCAUCAACCGAUGCGUCUGCGACAGAUUUAUGUGCCCAUGUCUGGCUAGGAAACCGUGUCAUACUUGUUUCCAUGCUUCCUUUACUCUCCAUCUCGUCAACCGACCCUGUCACCCACUGUGUGCAGGCCUGUGCUGUGUUGUGUGUGUGUGUGUGUGUACGAUGUAAUCACCAAACACAUGCAGAGACGACGCACCCACAUGCAAAAAAAAAGGGAAAGAGGCGACAUCGACAGCGAGUCGCCCACUCAUACACACGCGAUCUGGUGUGCAGUGCGCCGCGCGGCUGUGGCGGCUUUGUUGAGCGCACAUUUUACAACGCUUCGACGCUUUUCGGCAGCACCCAUGAGUGACGGUGGGUGUGCUUGGCGCCUGACCGCCCUUCCUCGUGGCCCGGCGGCAUCGAUGCUAUCGCGUAUGCUUUCUUGACGAUCAUGUGGCUCUUGCUAUUUAUUUUCCCUUGUGCGCUACUGGAAAUGGGCCCACCUUUUUUUUUCUUCUUCGUUUAUCUCGUUGCCGGUGUUCAUCAUCUGUUUUGGUUCUUUUUUUUUCUGCUCUUGUUGCCGCCACCUCUCAUUGCUCUCUUCAGCCUCUCCUUGUCGACUCCGCUCUCUCCCUCUGUGUGAUUGUGGCUUGAUUCUUCCGCGCAACUCGGUGUCACUGAGUUUUAGAGACAUGGAGAGCGGUCAGCACCACUGCGGGCGAUCCUAACCUCACUGCCCGUUUAGAUCUUUGAAAGUAGCGCGUGGCCUAUGCCCCCACGACUGUCGAAUCGUUAUCCCGCUGCACUCGCCGAAGCCGAUCCGUGCCGCUCCCUUUCUUCAAGUAGGAUGUACUUGGUUCUUUGGUGGCUUUCUAGCUUCGCCCUUGUACCUUCGCCGGCUCUCAUUUUAUGUGCCUGCGUCUCCUCUCUCUGUGCGCUCUGCUCGCGUCCCGGUGCCGAAUUCCUCACAUUCGCUGUUUUUGUUGUUGUUGUUGUUUGUCUGCUUGGCGCUGUACCCUCCCUCCCUUCCCCUCUCUCUCCACCUUUUUUUUUUCUGCACGGUCACCUUGCGCGUUCCCCCUUGGUGCAUGUCCACACAGUGUCGCAUGCGAGCUGUGGCUCUGCGAGAGCACUUACUGUUUUGUCUCGAUGUAUGUCGUGCCUGCGCAUGUAUCGGGCCCAUGCGCAUCGAUGCACCCGCGCUGGCCGACCUUUUUCUACGGUUUGAUUUUGACGUGUUGUCCCUCACCUGUGGGGCGGGGCCGGCUACUCGCUUCUUUUCUCGGCAGGACGGCGCGGGGCCCCUGCUGCUGUUCGUGUUCUGAAUGGAUGUUUCGUCUGCCAGCGCGUUUGUUUUUCUGUGUGUUGCCGCGUUCCUGUGCUGUUGUGAGGGCAGACGAGGCGCACUCCUCGUUGCGCCUCCUCCGCCUCUCAUCUGGCGCCCCCUUUCUGCGUGCUCUGACUUUGGCUCUACUCGCUUGCUUGUUUGGUGUUCCUGUGUUGCUGCUGCGGCGGCGGUUAGUGUCUACAGGCGUUUUUUUCGUUGUGUUUCGUUUUUUGGCACACGGUAAUGCACAUGUCGCAGUAUAUUGAGGUGAAGGCGUGCAUUGGACAGUGACGGCCGAUGUCUGCCGAUUUCUCUCUGCCCUAGUGCCUCCUCUGCGCCAACCCUUUCUCUCCCUCUUCCUCUCCCACAGCCCGUCCCGCGACGAUCUGUGGUCGCUUCAAAAGGAGUACAUGUUCUCCUGCUUGCUGUCUUAGAGGUUUUUUUUUCCAGUUUGUUGUUGUGCUGCGCUUCUCCUUCGCAGGGUUCUGUUGUUUUUUUUUUCUUCGUUUUCACAUUGAAACGGUCAGAGCUAACGGGAAGCACGGGUGGCCGGCGCAAGCGCGCGGUUCCCUUGGUGUUGGUGCGCCUCGCUCAGCCGUCAUUUGUGUGUUUCGCUUCGUUCUUCCCGCUGCUCACCUUCGGUCCGUUUUCUUUCUUUUUUUUUCUUUUCCACGAUUUCCCGUGUUUCAGAGUCAGUGGCACCCAUUCAACGCCCCUUCACAUCUCCGCGAGGUGAGCCAGGAAAGGCCCGAAGGACGGGUGAUUGGGGGGGGGGGGGGGGCAGCACUCUUGUGAGCACUGCACAGACAACUACGCAUAGAGCUCCGAACGAGCACCCGGGGUCUUAAGGCUCUUUGUAAGCGGCAAGAUUGUGCACACCCUCCGUAGCGGAUUAUUCGGCUAUACGUCUCCUGCGGGGGCGACAGUCCUGACUCGUCUCUAUAGGCUCCCUCACUCCUAGCCUUACACUCUGCGCCCAUACGCCGGCGAAGGAAAGAAGGCGUGUGUGUGGAGCAGCGCGAAUGCUCUAUGGGCCUCCGCAUAUAUGUGCGUGUUUUCUUUUCCCUCUCUUCCUUUCGAUUCUCCUUGCUGCUCCUCCUGUGCGCGCGUGUGUGCGUGUGGUGCGCUCAUCAAAGGAACCGUUUUGGCAUUGCCGUUUUCACAGCCUCCGCUGGUAUGCGUGGGCGUGAGUAUGUCAUGUCGAUGCUCGCUUGUAUCGGUAUGUAGGUACCACCUCGUAAGCUGGGCAAGAGCAGUGAUACUCCGAGUGACUUUAGAAAGGGUCCGUG